GACUGGAAAAUGUCAGUUUCUAUUCCAGUCCCAAAGAAAGGCAAUGCCAAAGAAUGUUCAAUACGUAAGGCAUUGAAUACUAAGUCGAACUUUGAUAUACACUCAAAGUGAUUCCAUCUCUUAGGACCAUGCUUAAUUUUCUGUCUAUUACAUCUUUCAAUUAUAAAAGAUUGAAGUAUCUCAAGGUAACUUCAUUCUAAUACAUUUCUUAGUUAUCUCAUCAUUUGUUCUUAAUAUUUUAAUUGCUUCCUUCUUUAGCACAUUUCCAUGUAACCAUAUUAUGCAUACUUUGGUAAACAUAGGCUUUUUGCCUAUUCAUAGAUCUCCCACAAUAACCCUCUCCUCCAGAAAUUCUACCUGAACCUACAAUUUCAAAAGUAGUUCUAAGACUUGCCUCUCCUGGGUGUUGACUUGUUCCAAGACCUAGUUAAGGUUGGGUUUAGAGGGAAAAAAUGAUUGAAAUGCAAAUUCACACUGCUAUUAGAUGCUUUAGGUUUUCAUUUCUAAUACGUUUUUUUCUUCCUGAGUUUUGUGACUUCAACAGGUCUUCUCAACAAUGUAGAAUACGGAAGACUGACAAGAGUAUUAGUAGUGAACUAAGAAGAACAGAGAAACUGAGUUAAAGUGAGAAAAUGGAGAGAGGCAGAAGGCACAGGGCAAAGAUCCCUGUUCUUUUUGAAGCUGAUUCAGAAAGCUGGAGCUGAUAGUCCUGAAAUCCUCUGGACAACUGACAGCUGCCUGAAACUGCAGCAGAGCCAUUCCUGAUGGGCAGGACUACAAGCCCUGACUCAUAUUCUGUGUCGCAAGAUGGGUGGAUGGUGUCACCAACUCGAUGGACAUGGGUUUGAGCAAGCUCCAGGAGAUGGUGAAGGACAUGGAAGCCUGGCGUGCUACAAUCCAUGGGGUUGCAAAGAGUUGGACAUGAAUGAGCGACUGAACAACAACAAGAUAGAGACUGAAUAGUAUCUCAAACCUGUCCUGUUUCAUUAUACCUUUUUACUACAAUGUGGCCAUGCUUAGAGUUGCUUUGAAAAAUAAAAUUUUCAUAUCAAGCCAUCAUUUGUGUAUCUUUAUAAAAGUAUGCAGACACAUUACCAUAAUUUGAACUUUCGUAAUUCUAGUCACUUAGAACCUGAAUAAAUAGGAAUA